AGCGAUUCUCCUGCCUCAGCUCCUGAGUAGCAGGACCAGGUGGAUCACCUGAGAGUAAUUGAAGAUUAGAGAAGAAAACUUGCCUAAGAAACUCAGUUGACUAAUAUUAGAACUAUGGCUACAGGAUUGAUAAAGUUUCAAGAACUACAGAGAAUCCAAUUAGAAGAUAUUUAAAUAUAUUAAAAGGAAUUUUAAAAUGCAAGUCCAA